UAGGGCUAAUACAUGCGUCAUACCUGACUUCUGGGAAAGGUUGCUAUCAUGAGUCAUAGAAUCGGCGCAGGCUCUGCCUUGCUACCAAGGUGAGUCAUGAUAAUUUAGCUGAUCGCAUUGCAUCAGCUGGUGAUGAACUGCACAAGUUUCUGACCUAUCAGCUUCCGACGCUAGGGUAUUGGCCUACUGUGGCAAUGACGGGUGACGGAGAAUUAGGGUUCGAUUCCGGAGAGGGAGCCUGACACAUGGCUACCACAUCUAAGGAAGGCAGCAGGCGCGCAAAUUACCCAAUCCUGACAUGGGGAGGUAGUGACAAGCAAUAACAAUACGGGGCAUCCAUGUCUUGUAAUUGGAAUGAGCUAACUGUAAACAUGUUGGUGAGUAUCAAUUGGAGGGCAAGUCUGGUGCCAGCAGCCGCGGUAAUUCCAGCUCCAAUAGCGUAUAUUAAAGCUGUUGCGGUUAAAAAGCUCGUAGUUGGAUUUCUGUCAAGUACAACUGGUCCGCCCUCUGGGUGAGCACAUAGUUUGGUCUUGGCAUCUUGCUGGAAACUGUUGCUGCACUUGGCUGUGUGGCGCAGUGUCCAGCACUUUCACUUUGAGGAAAUUGGAGUGUUUCAAGCAGGCAAUGCCUUUGAACACAGUAGCAUGGAAUAAUUAGAUUGGGCUUUUGCUCCAAU
rnacentral:rRNA from 1 species